GUUUUAUUGUCCUACUCAUAAUUUUGUGACGUAGAUCACAACUCAUGUGUAGUUGCUGGAAGCCGCCAUUGCGUGCGAAAUAACAUAUUGCAGCCAAUUUCAUUUGUCAUAUUAUCUUGUAAAAUAGUCUAUACACUAAGCUAAUUCAAGAUGUCGAGGUUUUUUAUGGGAUCUGAUUCUGAAUCAGAUGAUUCAGUAAGUGAUACAGAGGUAGCGCCAAGUAGAACCACUGCCAAACCAGCAACGGGUUACCAGUUCAGUGAUGAAGAAGAAGAAACAAAGCGUGAAGUACGAAGUGCUAAAGAUAAACGAUUUGAAGAAUUAAAGACUAUUAUGAAAAACAUGAAUAACCAUAAAAAGAUAAAAGAUAUGGCCAAUGUUCUUACAGAUUUUGAAGACUUGGCGAAAGCUUAUGUCAAAACUAAGAAAGUUAUAGAACAGACAGGCAUACCUAGAUUUUAUAUUAAAUGUCUGGUAGAAUUAGAAGAUUUCAUUGUUGAUAUGUGGGAGGAUAGAGAUGGGAGAAAACAAAUGAGUAAAACUAAUAGUAAAGGUCUGACUACACUGAGACAAAAACUUAGGAAAUAUAUGAGGGACUUCGAGGAUGAUAUUAAAGGAUAUAGAGAGAACCCUGAUGCUGAGGAGGAAGAAUUACAAGCUGAAUCAGAAGACGAAGAAGAUGUUGAAGUUGUUCCUUCUCUCAAACCUAAAAUAGCUGAUGGCUUUCUCAAACCAAUUGAUAAAGCUGCCGCUGACGAUGAUGAUGACGAUGAUGAUAGUUUAUGGGGGUCAGAUCAUGAAUCCUCCUCCAGCAGUGACGAUGAAUUACCCUCAGUUGGUGGUCUUAGACAGUAUACUGCAGCUAUGUUCUUAAAAAAAACUGGAGAAGAAGCAAGUAAAGAAGCAGAGGCAAAGAGAAUUAGAAAAGAAGAAAAAGCACAAAAGAAAAAAGAUUCAAAGAAGGAUGAAGGAGAAUGGACAGAUGUUGUUAAGGGUGCUCCUCAUGUUAUUGAGAAAACCGUAAUGUUUGCUAAGGAUACUGAAGUUAACCACGAGGCUGUUAUGAAGAAAUUAACAGAGAUUAUUUCAGCCAGAGGAAAAAAAUCCACCGAUAGAAAUGAACAGAUUGAAUUGUUACAUGAACUAGCCACUAUAGCAGAUACAAAUAACUUAGGUCCAGCUGUACAAGUUAAGAUCAUGUUUAACAUUGUAGCUGCUAUAUAUGAUUACAAUCCUAACAUUGCUACAUGUAUGAGAUCAGAAAUGUGGGAUACAUGUAUAAAGAAUGUAGGAGAUUUGUUAGAACUCAUAGCUAAUAAUGCUGAUAUUACGGUUGGAGAAAAUAUUCUAGAGGACAGUGAAAAUGUUGAGACUUCCCCAUACAGAGUUAGAGGUUGUAUUCUGACUGUUGUAGAAAGGAUGGAUGAAGAAUUCACUAAGAUGUUACAGGCUUGUGAUGCUCACAGUACAGAAUAUGUAGACCGAUUGAAGGAUGAGACAGUCGUUUGUGAAAUGAUAGAAAAACUUCAGGCUUAUUUAGAAGGCAAAGCAACAACUGAGGAAAUGUGUCGUGUUUAUCUUAAAAGAAUUGAGCAUACAUAUUAUAAGUUUGACCACACAAUUGUUGAUGGAACUGCAACGGAGGAUCCAACCAGAGAAGUGAUGCAACAGCUAUGUAAAUAUAUCCAUGCCAAGGAUAACAGUGACAGACUGAGAACCAGAGCUAUGUUGUGUCAUAUAUACCAUCAUGCAUUGCACAAUAGAUGGUACCAGGCCAGAGAUCUUAUGUUGAUGUCUCAUCUCCAGGAUACAAUCCAGCACUCUGAUAUUCCUACACAGAUUCUUUACAACAGAACAAUGGUACAGCUAGGUCUGUGUGCCUUUAGAGAAGGCAUGAUCAGGGAUUCCCACAAUGCUUUGGUUGAUAUACAGAGUGGUGGUCGUGCUAAAGAAUUACUGGCACAGGGUCUGUUACUACAAAGACAACAUGAGAGAACACCUGAGCAGGAGAAGAUUGAGAAGCGUCGUCUGCUUCCUUAUCACAUGCAUAUAAACUUGGAAUUAUUAGAAUGUGUUUAUCUAGUGUCUGCUAUGUUAAUGGAAAUCCCUUAUAUGGCUGCUCAUGAAUUUGAUGCCAGGCGAAGAAUGAUCAGUAAGAACUUCCAUCACGUUCUGAGACUGAGUGAGCGUCAGACUUUACCUGGACCUCCAGAGAGUAUGAGAGAACAUGUUGUAGCAGCAUCAAAAGCUAUGAAGAAAGGAAACUGGAAGGAAUGUCAAAACUUUAUCAUUAAUGAUAAGAUGAAUGCUAAGGUUUGGGAUCUGUUUUAUCAGAAAGAUAGAGUACGAGACAUGGUGACUAGAAAAAUCCAGGAAGAGAGUUUACGUACAUAUUUAUUUACCUACAGUAGUGUGUACGAUUCUCUUAGUCUGGUCACACUGGCAGAGAUGUUUGAAUUAGAGAUCAGUGUCGUCCAUUCUAUCAUCAGUAAGAUGAUCAUCAAUGAAGAAUUAAUGGCUUCCCUAGAUGAGCCUACACGUACAGUUGUGAUGCAUCGUACAGAACCAACACGUCUACAGUCCCUGGCAUUACAGUUGUCAGAAAAGGUUUCAUCUCUAGUAGACAAUAAUGAAAAGAUCAUGGAAUUCAAACAAGGAAAUUUCGGCUUCCAGAAAACAAGUUAUGGUGUACCUAUACUAACACAACACAGACCAGAAUUAUGGGGGAUAUCAACAGAACAAAGACACUUGGCAAGGCAACAAGUAUCAAAAUAAAGAUAACUGGACUGGUGGUAGUAAGUAUCAGAAUAAAGACACUUGGCAAGGUAAUAAGUAUCAACAGAAUAAAGAUAAUUGGACAGGAGGCAAUAGAAGAAAUCAAAACAGACAACAAAGAGCCUAUUAGUUACAAGUCAUAUAAACGUUUAAACAAAAUCUCAGUCACAUUGUUUUGGAGAAAUAAUUUAUUUCCAGUAUGUGUGACAAAACACAUGCUGCUUACUAUUGUAUAAAAUUGUGUAAAUUGUCUGUUUACGGCCAUUCCAGCUGUUUUAAAUCUGUUGUGUGUCAAAAGUGUUUAAAUAAAAUGUUUGUAAAAUUUAGAACUAAGAUUUAAAUCAAUACCUAAAAAUCUGUGUUAAAUUUAAUCUUUUUUAGAAGAGCAUUUAGGAUCAACUACAUUGUUUUCAUAUUGGAACCUUCGUGUGCACAAUUAUUAUUUUUCAAUUGAUUUUGUGAAAGUAUCAGUAAAAAUAUAUAACUUCCAAAUAAUUUUUCUUGGAUUUAAUGUUGUUUUUCAAAUAGCAUUUUUGAAAUGAAAAAAUAGAUUAAUUGUAAAAACUAUCUUUUGUAUCUUAAGCUUGAUAUAGCAUUUUACAUGAUAUGGAUUUAAAAUAGUUGGAAUGGCCAGAAACAUUAAAUUACUUUUAGAAUAUUUAUGAGAGUGCUCAAUCAUUGUAUAAUAGUGCUGGAUAGUCUAAAAAAUAAUCAUGGUUUUAAUAUGCUUCAAUGAAAGUUUAAAAAAAAAUUGAUU